GACGAACGCUGGCGGCGUGCCUAAUACAUGCAAGUCGAACGCAGUGGGGACGGGUGAGUAACACGUGGGUAACCUCCCAUCAGAGGGGAUAACACUUGGAAACAGGUGCUAAACCGAUACUGAUGGAUGGACCCGCGGUGCAUUAGCUAGUUGGUGAGGUAACGGCUCACCAAGGCCACGAUGCAUAGCCGAGCUGAGAGGGGUGUUGGCCCCCACGGGAGUGAGGACCGGCCCACACCCCCAACGGAGGACAGAGGAGGGAAAUUUUGGCAAUGGGCGAAAGUCUUGACGAGCAACGCCGCGUGAGUGAAGAAGGUUUUCGGAUCGUAAAACUCUGUUGUUAGAGAAGCGGUAUCUAACCAGAAAGCCACGGCUAACUACGUGCCAGCAGCCGCGGUAAUUC
rnacentral:rRNA from 1 species